rnacentral:rRNA from 1 species
CCUACGGGUGGCAGCAGUGAGGAAUAUUGGUCAAUGGACGCAAGUCUGAACCAGCAAUGCCGCGUGCAGGAAGACGGCUCUAUGAGUUGUAAACUGCUUUUGUACGAGGGUAAACGCAGAUACGCGUAUCUGUAUGAAAGUAUCGUACGAAUAAGGAUCGGCUAACUCCGUGCCCGCAGCCGCGGGAAUACGGAGGAUUCAAGCGUUAUCCGGAUUUAUUGGGUUUAAAGGGUGCGUAGGCGGUCGGAUAAGUUAGAGUUGAAAUCACGAGGCUCAAAUUCGGAAUUGCCUCUGAUACUGUUCGGCUAGAGAGUAGUUGCGGUAGGCGGAAUGUAUGGUGUAGCGGUGAAAUGCUUAGAGAUCAUACAGAACACCGAUUGCGAAGGCAGCUUACCAAGCUACUUCUGACGUUGAGGCACGAAAGCGUGGGGAGCAAACAGGAUUAGAUACCCGUGUAGUC